rnacentral:rRNA from 1 species
GACGUAGGGCGCGAGCGUUGUCCGGAUUUAUUGGGCGUAAAGAGCUCGUAGGCGGCUUGUCGCGUCGACUGUGAAAACCCGCGGCUCAACCGUGUGGCUUGCAGUUGAUACGGGCAGGCUAGAGUUCGGUAGGGGAGACUGGAAUUCCUGGUGUAGCGGUGAAAUGCGCAGAUAUCGGGAAGAACACCCGUGGCGAAGGCGGUUCUCUGGGACGGUACUGACGCUGAGACGCGAAAGCGUGGGGAGCGAACAGG